GGUAGAUUUGACUUGGCCUUGGCUGCCUGUUACAGACAUUUUACAUUCUGUAUUACGCAUGCCAACUUCCUAAUCUUAUCACACCACCUAACUGACUGUCGUCCUCGAUAGCACUUAUAAACCCCCGUUUAUCUGCCCUACGCAUUAAUGACCCGCCCAGCUCCAUCUUUUCCUCUAAAUGUAAACUAGAAUAACAGUUAGCCCUAACAAUCCACUUCGCGCUCUUCUUGUCCCUGAACGAGAGGUGCAAUGGUUUUCUUCUCAAGGUUCCUUGUUGAUCCCAAUGUUUCUGUUCAGUAUGUUAGCACCCGCACAAAACAAUGAUUGCACAUACUUCAAAGGUACCGGUAAUCUGCCGGUCAUGAUUUCGUAAUUCGUGCCGUAUGCGUUCCAGCCGAUUUUAUUCUUUCUUUCAAUUUCCUUUUCAUGAUCGCGGUCACCUUUGACUGGUCGACUUCGAUGUGCGUAUUCUUUCGCCGAUUCUUGAGGUUGACUAACAAGCGCGCAUUUUCAUUCUCUUGCUCGGCAAUUGAACAUUACCUUAGUCUUCUGCUUAUUAAUAGUCAACCUUACUCUUCUAUUCUGUCGACUUGGUCUUACCAUAAAGAUCAUACCUUACGUGUAACACCAAAUCUGAUAAUAGAAAAAAAGGUAGCACAGCGCAGGGAUAUACAUGGAGUAAUUUGGGUAAGCCACAUCUGGGGCAAUCACUUCUCGGGCGAUCAUUUUCAGAGACGAUCAUGCCGGAUCUGUGCGAGUAUACGGCCGAAAGCGUUUCUGGUCCUGUGCCAAGCUCGCUAUCUGAAUGGUGUACAGAAUAGACGGUCAACGUUUGGUGCCCUCACCUCCUUCACCGUGUUUCUCACAUAGGUGUGCGUUGUCUUCUUUUUCAUUGGCACCGGGGACGAACGGCACGAGUUCGACAUGUUCGUGUCCUGCACCCAUCUUUCGGGCAAAGACGAUGCUGGCCUUUCGUGCGUCACGACCGGGUGAAGCGGGGGAGGCAGCACAGGGGCCGACUGCACAAGUCAAACCAGCGAGCCAUGCAGAAGUGGCCAGAGACAUGGACCGAGGAAUGCACAGUGAAAGCCGAGUCCAUCCAAGACGUGCUCCCGGAGCCCUUAUAUUCCAGAAGAAGGCUCCCAGAAGCAGGGAGGUGGUGGCGGCAACCAACAGACGACGAAAGAAUGGGCCAGCAUCUUUCCGAAGAAUCGCGCCCUGUAGGCGUCCAUGGGCGCAUGGUCAGGGAAGCCCUGGUCAGAGAGCGUCCCUUGCCGGCAGCGGAACACUAAGACCCAGUUCUUCAUCCGCUGCCUGGACUCGAACAUCGCCUCUGGUGACGGGUUGUCCAGCGCCACUCGGGCGACUGUGGUGUGCAAGGUUCACCUGACUACAGGGGCAGUGAGAUGAACAGCAUCCGCAGCCUCACGCUCACGUCAGGCCACAGGUGCCAAAUGCGAGCAACGUAGGUGACACAGUGCUCCAGCCUUGCCGGUGGCAUGAACAGUCGGCGAUGUGUCCGCGCAGCCGGCUGCUCCCCUUUGGAUGUCUCUCGGCCAAGAUGUCCAGCAGGGUAGCAGCGUGCUCACCAGAAGUGGCGAUGAUGGUGAGGAUCUCCCCGCACCGGACUUGGAACGACAAUACCAAGAUCGGGAGCAACUUGGUGCGAGACUACCAAACAGCCGCUGACCCAGGCUGGAGAGGUUCACUUGAAACGUCAGGCAACGACGACCUGGCCAUUUGCACCGUGGCUGGAAAUUCCGACAAACGCGUGGUUACACACACAAAUAAAAAGAGCGAAAACAGCGCAGGCCAUAAGGCCAGAAGACGACGAUGGCGACGGGCAACACCCAGGACGUGGGAGACGAUUCACAACUUCAUUUACCUUGAGUCGAACUAAUUAUAAGCAUUUGCAGAGUAGAACCUGGGUAGCCUAAGAAUAUUUGGUGGCAGGUCAUCGAAAUAGGGCAUCAAUAACACGGAGGCUUUUCUAGUUAUCGAGAUGGCAAAGGCAUAGCGAAGAAGUGAAAUGUUGGUGGAUUGCAUAGAUAUCUUAAAGGACUGAAUGAAUCAAUCCUUCUCUAACGAGAAGGAGGAACGAAUGCCACUGGUGGGGAGGAGGGACAUACGAAGGAGAGGUAGACACCCACUAAGUCGCGGCAGCCAGGCCGCUGCAACGCCGAAGUGGGCUAACUUUACUGGGUGAUCGGGGUUUUCGAGAAUGUCGUUCUGUGAAGUUUCGAUAUGGCAAUGUAGAAAAAAAAAAUAUUGCCAUCGUCUUGACAGUUAUUGAGCGUGGGACAGUGUAAAAUGAGACGCUGCAAGUUUGCUUCGCAUACGGAGUGGAAGAAGGCGCAUAUUCGGUGGCAGAGGCGUCAGUGCCCUUAUGGUCAGCCAACGAAGGCCGUUUGUGAAUUAUGUCAGGGGUAGUGUCUGUGUUGGUAAGUACAUUACGAAUAUUUCCCGCAAUCAGGUGAGGGCGAGGUCGCUAAACAUGCGAGGAGGGAAGAGAUGUUUUUCUCCCUCUUCGUGUACUUGAGGAUGCGGCGUAUUCGUGCCAUUUCGAAGUAUGAGUUGGGCAGCAAAACCGCAUAGGAGUGGUCACCAAGAUCGUCAGACCCGCGUAAGAAAGGUUGGAGACUAAGGUAGACCACAGGCUGUGAGGUGGCAAGGCCAUGCACCACCUCGUUACCUCCAGUACCCCGAUGUGUCCAGGCAUUGACCCUGGACACGUGGGACAAUGGCAUUCACUCUAACGUCAAUGCCAUUCUUCGGCUUGCGCUAUGUAAUCUGGCGGAUUCUUACAGCAGUGACAUUUUCCACACCGGGAACCACGCACGACUGCAAAUUUUGGUAAGAUGUUCACAGCAGCGUAAGCUAUUCGCCUAUUGAGGUUUUCACCAUGGUGGU